rnacentral:sRNA from 1 species
UGAGAAUUGGGACAGUUUGCUCCUGGGGGAGCUUUCAGACACCCCCAAAGGAGAACGUUCUUCCAAGCUCCUCUCUGCUCUCAACAGCCACAAGGACCGUUUCAUUUCAGGGAGAGAGAUUAAGAAGAGGAAAUGUUUGUUUGGUCUCCAUGCUCGGAUGCCUCCCCCUGUGGAGCCCCCUACUGGAGAUGGAGCACUCACCAGGUCACUGGUCCAGGGGGGAUGGGGAAAUUCUCAGGGUGUUAGUCCUGGGGGGUAUAUGUAUAGAGAUGGGGAGGUCUUGGGGGUGUCCGGGAGGGGGCUGGGGGAUAAGGAGGCCUCUUACAGCUUCCCUUCAGGGCAGGGCCCUGGGGGAGGGGUCUCACGUCCCCUGGGGAAGCGCCGGAGGCCGGAGCCAGAGCCCCUGAGGAGGAGGCAGAAGGGGAAAGUGGAGGAGCUGGGGCCACCCUCAGCAGUGCGCAAUCAGCCCGAGCCCCGGGAGCAGAGGGAGCGGGCUCAUCUGCAGAGGGCACUGCAGGCCUCAGUGUCUCCACCAUCCCCCAGCCCUAACCAGAGUUACCAGGGCAGCAGCGGCUACAACUUCCGGCCCACAGAUGCCCGCUGCCUGCCCAGCAGCCCCAUCCGGAUGUUUGCUUCCUUCCACCCUUCUGCCAGCACCGCAGGGACCUCUGGGGACGGUGAACCCCCAGACAGGUCACCCCUGGAACUUCACAUUGGUUUCCCCACAGACAUCCCUAAAAGUGCCCCCCACUCGAUGACUGCCUCAUCUUCCUCAGUCUCAUCCCCAUCCCCAGGUCUUCCUAGACGCUCAGCACCCCCUUCUCCCCUGUGCCGUAGUUUGUCUCCUGGGACUGGGGGAGGAGUCCGAGGUGGGGUUGGUUACCUGUCCCGAGGGGACCCUGUCCGGGUCCUUGCUCGGAGAGUACGGCCUGAUGGCUCUGUGCAGUACUUGGUUGAGUGGGGAGGAGGGGGCAUCUUCUGAACAGCCUGCCUCUGCCCAGCUCCCCAUUCACACACACCGGCACUUUCAUACCCUGACCUCUGACCUCACCUACAGCUGGGAUGUACCUGGAGAGAUAGGGGGUAGUUCUCCCUAC